GACCGGUUGAUUUUGCAGGAUUGAACGGAUGUUGCUAAUUCCCCGGGCAAAUGUAGUUUAUAUAUAUGGGUGUGGUUUAUAAACCAUAUUGGUAAUUUAGGUACUGCUUAAAAUUGUGACUAGAGUCAAAUACUUUUCGUGGGAUACUCAGGUGGUCAACAUGAGCUACCAAAAUGACUAUGAAGUGUGCCAGACUUUGCAGUGCCAAGAUUGAGGGGGGAGGGGGGUCAUUUCAGCAGGGAGGAAAAUGGCCUUGCAGAAAUUACCUCCCCAAAACUUGCUUCAAACUGUGACUACAGUCAAAUAUUUUUUCGGCAGGGGUGUUGAUUUUGGCACAACCGGGUUUGUGGUCCAUUGCGCAGAAUGGCAUUGCUGGACCGUAGACCGUGGUUCACAGGGGAGAGCAUGUCUAUUAUUGCUAACUAAUUAUGGAGCUAUUUUGUGAUUUCAACAGGUUAAAUUUUUACUAUACUAUACUGUUGAUAAUAUGGUUAAAAGGUAAAAGAAAAAUAAUCGACCGUCAUGGAUGGUGUGCUUUUCCUGAGUACCAGUGCAAAAGAUGCCGGCCUACUUGACAUGGAAUUGUAUGGAUUAGAAUGACAAGCAUACUGAAUGAAUAGACGAAGAAGGAGAGCGAAGAUGGAGACAGAGGAGGGUGAGGAUAAGCUUGUGAUGAGAGCACGAGAGAGGAAGCCAGCUCAGUAGCACCUCUGUAUCUAUCCUUGCUCACGUCUCCCCAGCUGUGAGCUGCACCUCUGUAUCUAUCCCUGCUCACGUCUCCCCAGCUCUGAGCUGCACCUCUGUUGCCCUUCUCCACACGGAUCUACGGUCUUCAGCAUGCAUGUUAUUUUUCUCUGGUUCUCCAGUCAUGGGUAAAGACUUGCCAAGCUGUGCUACGGACCUUAUGCAAAAUACACGAGCUCUGGCAUAGCCAGCCCUGCCGUAGCAUCCCAGUAAGCCUAGACAACAUCCCUGUGGGUACUUCGCCAGAGGGCAGGUUAACUAUUCUGGGGUGGGUCUGUGUGGUGGAGGAUUUAUACAGCGCUCACGAGCCCGGCUGACUGAGCCAAGUUUCCCGGUCGUAAGUUUCAGACAGGGCACUGGAUGAAGCAAAGCGAGCUAUUGACUGAAAGUAUGCCCUGUCUUCACUUGCUGUCUGAUUGAUACACGACAACACUCCGGAUGUAUGGACUAUAAUGGGAUACAUUUUCUGUGGAGCCUUUGAGACCCUCGAAGCGGCGCGUUCGUUUCUCUCCUUGAUAAACAGACCCUGGACAUCAAAGCAUUCCCCCCUCGGACUCAUCCAGUUGUUCCGUAUUAGCAGUAGACCAUAAUGACUUGCGUUACAAAUAAUUGAUAGUGCUGUGUACCGUGUCUCAUUGACUUGUGUUGCAUUACAUUCAUUUGAAUCCUAGCUACCAAUUGUUUCAUGUUAGCCCAGUUAACUGAAGUUCAGGCUUGAUGCGAUUCAUUAACAGCCCAACACAUGCAGUGGAGGGAUCAGUCAUUAGAUUAAAUGGAGUGCCACCACUAGAGUACAGUACAGUACAGAGUCAGCAAGUGCAGGUUACAAUUCGACCUAGUUCACUGCUUGUGUACAAUCGUUUGAAAAGCAACAGUCAUUGUUUUUGAGUGUUAUUGUGUUCCCUCAAUUCUCUAUAGAUACACUUGCGUCAGACCAUCUCGCAAUGCAUUACCAGCC
ensembl:lncRNA